AUUGAACGCUGGCGGCAUGCUUUACACAUGCAAGUCGAACGGCAGCGCGGGCUUCGGCCUGGCGGCGAGUGGCGAGCGGGUGAGUAAUGCAACGGAACGUGCCCAGUAGUGGGGGAUAGCCCGGCGAAAGCCGGAUUAAUACCGCAUACGACCUGAGGGUGAAAGCGGGGGACCGAAAGGCCUCGCGCUAUUGGAGCGGCCGAUGUCGGAUUAGCUAGUUGGUGGGGUAAAGGCUUACCAAGGCGACGAUCCGUAGCUGGUCUGAGAGGACGACCAGCCACACUGGGACUGAGACACGGCCCAGACUCCUACGGGAGGCAGCAGUGGGGAAUUUUGGACAAUGGGGGCAACCCUGAUCCAGCCAUGCCGCGUGCGGGAAGAAGGCCUUCGGGUUGUAAACCGCUUUUGUUCGGGAAGAAAUCCUCUGGGCUAAUACCCCGGGGGGAUGACGGUACCGGAAGAAUAAGCACCGGCUAACUACGUG
rnacentral:rRNA from 1 species